rnacentral:tRNA from 1 species
GGGGGCGUGGCUCACGCGGUAGAGCGUCUGCCUGGCAAGCACGAGGCCCUGGGUUCAAAUCCCAGCACCACCG